GGGCAGGCAUCCCGAAGCCGGCUUGCAGAAGCUCGCCUCACACCCCCCGGUGCUGCUGCGUUCAAGAGGCGCGGUGGUGAGCGACCGGGCGAAAGUCAUCCCUAGUGUCGCGU
rfam:Verminephrobacter eiseniae EF01-2, complete genome.